GAUCUCAACAUGGACUGGUUACGUCUAGGCUUAGUGCUGCUUAUGAUUGUGGGGAGUAUAGAGGCUCAACAAGGCUACAACUACCCUAAGCCAAAAACUCCCUUUGUGGACAACAGACGACCUAAAUUUAUUGGAGGAUUGUCAACAGAUACAACUCAAGGUGCUCAA